CUGGCAACACGACUGAGGCUGAGCCCGCGUCCUCAAUCACAACUCGCUCAAGGGACGAGGCCAUGUAACCUUCUCUGAUGGGAAGAGC